rnacentral:rRNA from 1 species
GUGCCAGCAGCCGCGGUAAUACGGAGGAUCCGAGCGUUAUCCGGAUUUAUUGGGUUUAAAGGGUGCGUAGGCGGCGCGUUAAGUCAGGGGUGAAAUACGGUGGCUCAACCAUCGCAGUGCCUUUGAUACUGACGUGCUUGAAUCCAUAUGAAGUGGGCGGAAUAAGACAAGUAGCGGUGAAAUGCAUAGAUAUGUCUUAGAACUCCGAUUGCGAAGGCAGCUCACUAAGCUGGUAUUGACGCUGAUGCACGAAGCGUGGGAUCGAACAGGAUUAGAUACCCUGGUAGUCCACGCCCUAAACGAUAGAUAACUCGAUGUUAGGCGAUAGACA